rnacentral:misc_RNA from 1 species
GAGAAAGAAGGCACUUUAAACCAUCGGGAGUUGCCGAGAAAUUGGUAAACCGGCUGCGGAGCAACGCCGAGAGGUCAGCUUACUUUGCAAGGAGAAAGGCGGCCAAGGUGUUGAGGAGCAUGCUCCAAGGAGACUUCCCGCGCCAAGCUGUCGGCUCCAUCAAAUCCCUCGUCUACAGCCCUUUCCGUAACAGAAAGGCUACUUUGCCCUCGUUUGCCAAACCCUCAAGCAUCUACCCAUUAUCAGUGAUGUCUUGGAGUCUGCUGCCAUUCUCAAUAGCAAGUGGAAGGUUACCACUUACAAGCACUUGC